AGAAGGGAAGCGUAUUGGAAGAAGAAACUCAUGUACCGGCCCUGCAAAAGUGUGAAGGAGGCAAGGUGAUGUUUAAAUCUAGCAAGGUUCACAAUAUUCAAAAGGUUGCAAUGCAGCAAAAUCCUAGCAUGUCUGACUCCAUUUACCACUUGAUGGGCAUCUAUAUGGUUGGUUUCCUGAGCACUCUCUCAGCAGCCAUUAUCUACCUCCUUUUCAUCUGGCUA
rnacentral:misc_RNA from 1 species